rnacentral:rRNA from 1 species
AACGCCGGAAAUCUUACCGGGACCGACAGCAAUAUGAAGGCCAGGCUGAAGACUUUGCCGGAUUAGCUGAGAGGGUGGUGCAUGGCCGUCGUCAGUUCGUACUGUGAAGCAUCCCUGUUAAGUCAGGCAACGAGCGAGACCCACGCCCACAGUUGCCAGCGUACUCUCUGGAGUGACGGGUACACUGUGGGACCGCCGCUGCUAAAGCGGAGGAAGGAAUGGGCAACGGUAGGUCAGUAUGCCCCGAAUAUCCCGGGCUACACGCGAGCUACAAUGGUUGGUACAAUGGGUAUCUACCCCGAAAGGGGACGGGAAUCUCCUAAAACCAAUCUUAGUUCGGAUUGAGGGCUGCAACUCGCCCUCAUGAAGCUGGAAUCCGUAGUAAUCGCGUUUCAACAGAACGCGGUGAAUACGUCCCUGCUCCUU